rnacentral:rRNA from 1 species
AGUCGAGCGGACAGAAGGGAGCUUGCUCCCGGAUGUUAGCGGCGGACGGGUGAGUAACACGUGGGUAACCUGCCUGUAAGACUGGGAUAACUCCGGGAAACCGGAGCUAAUACCGGAUAGUUCCUUGAACCGCAUGGUUCAAGGAUGAAAGACGGUUUCGGCUGUCACUUACAGAUGGACCCGCGGCGCAUUAGCUAGUUGGUGGGGUAAUGGCUCACCAAGGCGACGAUGCGUAGCCGACCUGAGAGGGUGAUCGGCCACACUGGGACUGAGACCGGCCCAGACUCCUACGGGAGGCAGCAGUAGGGAAUCUUCCGCAAUGGACGAAAGUCUGACGGAGCAACGCCGCGUGAGUGAUGAAGGUUUUCGGAUCGUAAAGCUCUGUUGUUAGGGAACAACAAGUGCGAGAGUAACUGCUCGCACCUUGACAGUACCUAACCAUAAAGCCACGGCUAACUAAGUGCCACCAGACGCGGUAAUACGUAUGUGGCAGCUGUUGUCCGGAAUUAUUGGGCGUAAAGGUGUCGCAGGCGCUUUCAUAUGUCUGAUGUGAAAGCCCUCGGAUCAACCGCGGAGGGUCAAUGGAUUCUGGCAUACUUGACUGCACAAGAGGACAGUGGAAUUCCACGUGUAACGAUGCAAUGCGUACAGAUGUGAAGGACCGCCAGUGGCAACCUGUACUCUCUGCUCUGUAACUGACGCUGAGGAGCGAAAGCGAGGGGAGAGACCACGAUUAGAUUGGUGGUCAUUCCACUCUGUACACGAUGAGUGGCUAGUGUUAGGGUGUUUCUGCCCCUUACUGCUGUAGCUUACCCAUGUAUCAAUCGACCUGGGCAGUACGAUCGGAGGCUGUAACUCAAAGAAUUGACGGGGG